GAUGAACGCUGGCGGCGUGCCUAAUACAUGCAAGUCGAGCGAACAGACGAGGAGCUUGCUCCUCUGACGUUAGCGGCGGACGGGUGAGUAACACGUGGAUAACCUACCUAUAAGACUGGGAUAACUUCGGGAAACCGGAGCUAAUACCGGAUAAUAUAUUGAACCGCAUGGUUCAAUAGUGAAAGACGGUUUUGCUGUCACUUAUAGAUGGAUCCGCGCCGCAUUAGCUAGUUGGUAAGGUAACGGCUUACCAAGGCAACGAUGCGUAGCCGACCUGAGAGGGUGAUCGGCCACUCUGGAACUGAGACACGGUCCAGACUCCUACGGGAGGCAGCAGGAGGGAAUCUUCCGCAAUGGGCGAAAGCCUGACGGAGCAACGCCGCGUGAGUGAUGAAGGUCUUCGGAUCGUAAAACUCUGUUAUUAGGGAAGAACAAAUGUGUAAGUAACUAUGCACGUCUUGACGGUACCUAAUCAGAAAGCCACGGCUAACUACGUG
rnacentral:rRNA from 1 species